AUUUCAAGCAUUAUUUUGCCAAAGUGAUGUUCUUUGAUCUCCAUAUCCCUUAAUUACACGGAAAACGAUAAUAUAUAUAUAAACAAACCUAAAUUGCACCCUCUCAAGCAAUAAUACCACUUCCAAUGUUGAACUUCUUGAGAUUCUAAAGAUUGGCAUCAUAAAUAUACUAGGAUCACAUGAAAAAUAAUCAUAAUAAGUUUGAAAGACCUCAAGAAGACUAAUCCUAUUUGACUAUAAUACAUCAGUGGCAUAAAGUAAUAAAAUUAUCGACUAAGUCGGGCUUGUAA
rnacentral:misc_RNA from 1 species